GCCGAAAUAGCUCAGUUGGGAAGCGUUAGACAGAAGAUCUAAAGGUCCCGGUUCGAUACCGGGUUUCGGCA
rnacentral:tRNA from 1 species